GACGAACGCUGGCGGCGUGCUUAACACAUGCAAGUCGAACGGAAAGGCCCUGCUUUUGUGGGGUGCUCGAGUGGCGAACGGGUGAGUAACACGUGAGUAACCUGCCCUUGACUUUGGGAUAACUUCAGGAAACUGGGGCUAAUACCGGAUAGGAGCUCCUGCUGCAUGGUGGGGGUUGGAAAGUUUCGGCGGUUGGGGAUGGACUCGCGGCUUAUCAGCUUGUUGGUGGGGUAGUGGCUUACCAAGGCUUUGACGGGUAGCCGGCCUGAGAGGGUGACCGGCCACAUUGGGACUGAGAUACGGCCCAGACUCCUACGGGAGGCAGCAGUGGGGAAUAUUGCACAAUGGGCGGAAGCCUGAUGCAGCAACGCCGCGUGCGGGAUGACGGCCUUCGGGUUGUAAACCGCUUUCGCCUGUGACGAAGCGUGAGUGACGGUAAUGGGUAAAGAAGCACCGGCUAACUACGUGCCAGCAGCCGCGGUGAUACGUAGGGUGCGAGCGUUGUCCGGAUUUAUUGGGCGUAAAGGGCUCGUAGGUGGUUGAUCGCGUCGGAAGUGUAAUCUUGGGGCUUAACCCUGAGCGUGCUUUCGAUACGGGUUGACUUGAGGAAGGUAGGGGAGAAUGGAAUUCCUGGUGGAGCGGUGGAAUGCGCAGAUAUCAGGAGGAACACCAGUGGCGAAGGCGGUUCUCUGGGCCUUUCCUGACGCUGAGGAGCGAAAGCGUGGGGAGCGAACAGGCUUAGAUACCCUGGUAGUCCACGCUGUAAACGGUGGGUACUAGGUGUGGGGUCCAUUCCACGGGUUCCGUGCCGUAGCUAACGCUUUAAGUACCCCGCCUGGGGAGUACGGCCGCAAGGCUAAAACUCAAAGGAAUUGACGGGGCCCCGCACAAGCGGCGGAGCAUGCGGAUUAAUUCGAUGCAACGCGUAGAACCUUACCUGGGUUUGACAUGGAUCGGGAGUGCUCAGAGAUGGGUGUGCCUCUUUUGGGGUCGGUUCACAGGUGGUGCAUGGCUGUCGUCAGCUCGUGUCGUGAGAUGUUGGGUUAAGUCCCGCAACGAGCGCAACCCUUGUUCACUGUUGCCAGCACGUUAUGGUGGGGACUCAGUGGAGACCGCCGGGGUCAACUCGGAGGAAGGUGGGGAUGACGUCAAGUCAUCAUGCCCCUUAUGUCCAGGGCUUCACGCAUGCUACAAUGGCUGGUACAGAGAGUGGCGAGCCUGUGAGGGUGAGCGAAUCUCGGAAAGCCGGUCUCAGUUCGGAUUGGGGUCUGCAACUCGACCUCAUGAAGUCGGAGUCGCUAGUAAUCGCAGAUCAGCAACACUGCGGUGAAUACGUUCCCGGG
rnacentral:rRNA from 1 species